UGGAUGAUGUGGAUUAAUUCGAUGCAACGCGAAAACUUACCUACCUUGACAUGUCUGGAACCUUGCUGAGAGGCGAGGGUGCCUUCGGGAGCCAGAACACAGGUGCUGCAUGGCUGUCGUCAGCUCGUGUCGUGAGAUGUUGGGUUAAGUCCCGCAACGAGCGCAACCCUUGUCAUUAGUUGCCAUCAUUUAGUUGGGCACUCUAAUGAGACUGCCGGUGACAAACCGGAGGAAGGUGGGGAUGACGUCAAGUCCUCAUGGCCCUUAUGGGUAGGGCUUCACACGUCAUACAAUGGUCGGUACAGAGGGUUGCCAAGCCGCGAGGUGGAGCCAAUCCCUUAAAGCCGAUCGUAGUCCGGAUCGUAGUCUGCAACUCGACUGCGUGAAGUCGGAAUCGCUAGUAACCGCGAAUCAGCAGGUCCGCGGUCGAAUACGUUCCGGCCUU
rnacentral:rRNA from 1 species